rnacentral:rRNA from 1 species
UACGUAGGGAGCAAGCGUUGUUCGGAUUUACUGGGCGUAAAGGGCGCGUAGGCGGCGCGGUAAGUCACUUGUGAAAUCUCUGAGCUUAACUCAGAACGGCCAAGUGAUACUGCAGUGCUAGAGUGCAGAAGGGGCAAUCGGAAUUCUUGGUGUAGCGGUGAAAUGCGCAGAUAUCAGGAGGAACACCGAUGGCGAAGGCAGCUCGCUGGGACGGUACUGACGCUGAGACGCGAAAGCGUGGGGAGCAAACAGG